AUUGAACGCUGGCGGCAUGCCUUACACAUGCAAGUCGAACGGUAACGGGUCCUUCGGGAUGCCGACGAGUGGCGAACGGGUGAGUAAUAUAUCGGAACGUGCCCAGUAGUGGGGGAUAACUGCUCGAAAGAGCAGCUAAUACCGCAUACGACCUGAGGGUGAAAGGGGGGGAUCGCAAGACCUCUCGCUAUUGGAGCGGCCGAUAUCAGAUUAGCUAGUUGGUGGGGUAAAGGCCUACCAAGGCAACGAUCUGUAGUUGGUCUGAGAGGACGACCAGCCACACUGGGACUGAGACACGGCCCAGACUCCUACGGGAGGCAGCAGUGGGGAAUUUUGGACAAUGGGCGCAAGCCUGAUCCAGCAAUGCCGCGUGCAGGAAGAAGGCCUUCGGGUUGUAAACUGCUUUUGUCAGGGAAGAAAUCUUCUGGGCUAAUACCCCGGGAGGAUGACGGUACCUGAAGAAUAAGCACCGGCUAACUACGUGCCAGCAGCCGCGGUAAUACGUAGGGUGCGAGCGUUGAUCGGAAUUACUGGGCGUAAAGCGUGCGCAGGCGGCUUUGCAAGACAGAUGUGAAAUCCCCGGGCUCAACCUGGGAACUGCAUUUGUGACUGCAAGGCUAGAGUACGGCAGAGGGGGAUGGAAUUCCGCGUGUAGCAGUGAAAUGCGUAGAUAUGCGGAGGAACACCAAUGGCGAAGGCAAUCCCCUGGGCCUGUACUGACGCUCAUGCACGAAAGCGUGGGGAGCAAACAGGAUUAGAUACCCUGGUAGUCCACGCCCUAAACGAUGUCAACUGGUUGUUGGACGGCUUGCUGUUCAGUAACGAAGCUAACGCGUGAAGUUGACCGCCUGGGGAGUACGGCCGCAAGGUUGAAACUCAAAAGAAUUGACGGGGACCCGCACAAGCGGUGGAUGAUGUGGUUUAAUUCGAUGCAACGCGAAAAACCUUACCUACCCUUGACAUGUCAAGAAUUCUGCAGAGAUGUGGAAGUGCUCGAAAGAGAACUUGAACACAGGUGCUGCAUGGCCGUCGUCAGCUCGUGUCGUGAGAUGUUGGGUUAAGUCCCGCAACGAGCGCAACCCUUGUCAUUAGUUGCUACGCAAGAGCACUCUAAUGAGACUGCCGGUGACAAACCGGAGGAAGGUGGGGAUGACGUCAGGUCCUCAUGGCCCUUAUGGGUAGGGCUACACACGUCAUACAAUGGCCGGUACAGAGGGCUGCCAACCCCGCGAGGGGGAGCCAAUCCCAGAAAACCGGUCGUAGUCCGGAUCGUAGUCUGCAACUCGACUGCGUGAAGUCGGAAUCGCUAGUAAUCGCGGAUCAGCUUGCCGCGGUGAAUACGUUCCCGGGUCU
rnacentral:rRNA from 1 species